GGGCAGACAUAAAGCUUGUCAAAUUGUUAACCAAAUUUAAUUCAUUGAUCUGUAUUAUAUCAAUCAACAAUCGACUUGAUUGUCUUUCAAAUAUUGUAACAUGAUUAUCAUGGUUAAUGUUUGAUUGGGUUUCCCAGCCCGCUCAAUAUGAACGCGGGAAAUUGCGUUGCUAUAACCACACUUAUUUUUUAACGUUACAUUUUAAUGCGUAUUAAUUUUCCAUUUGUCAAUUUUUAAUUAAUUUUUGACAAAUUACUAAUUCUAGUUAUUAAAAUUGUGUUGUACCAAAUUGUUAAUAAAAUAAUCCUCAUUACAUCGGUUUACAGUUUACUGUGAUUUUUAUCUGAUUUAUGUGUCUUUCCAACAACUGAAAGUGGAUCAACUUGACUUUUCAUGUUAUAUCGUCUGGUUUAUCAUCUGCUUCUUCAGUUGUCUCUGCCUUUUUUCACCAUAAUCUCAACUGCAGCCAUUAUUUUUGUAAGAUUUCCCUGAUAUUUAAAGGAAUUUUAAUUUCAUCUUUUCUCAAAUCUAUUCAUGAAACUUGACAUGAUGCAUUCCUUGGUUCUUUGAUCAACUUGUCUCACCAACAAUGUCACAUUUUUACCUCACCACAAUUGCUUUGGUUUCUUGAUUGUAACCCAUUUUGUUUUCAACCAUUACUGCCCGAUCAUUACUCACUGCAACACCAUUAACCAUUUCACUCUCAAUUGGACUUUCUCAUUUUAAUUCAUGCUUCUACUUGAUUCAUGUUAAACAAUACUAUUGACUAAUUUGAACCAGCAUUGGGAGCCAAGUCAUGUCACUUCAAUUAACCUCAAUGACUACCAAUGGAGGUUAUUUACUUUUAACUGGCAUCCAUUAUUUUAUACGACUGUAAAAUGGGCCUUUGUACUUGAGUUAACUGGAAUUCCAUUCGAUCUAACGGUCAAUCCAGCUUGUGUCCAGUCGCACAAUUUCAUGCAACCAAUUUUCUUCCUCUAAUUGGCUUUACAAAUUAGUAUUUAAACACCAUUGAUCCAGUCGAUUAUUGUUUUGCGUAUAAUCAUUUUGCUUUACCAGUUCCUUUAUUGCUGAUGGUGCAUUAUUUCUUUGGUUUAAUCAUUCAAAUCAAUUCUUUCUAUUUUUUUGCACAACAAUACCAAUUCUGGUUUCAAUAGACACUUAUUACAAUUGAAUUUGCCCUUUGCUGUUGUAGCUCAUUUAAAACUGAGCUAAUACUCAAUGACAAUUACAAUAAUUCACUGAAUCACUUUUAAUCAUCAUCAUCAUCAUUACCCCUGUUCAUUGUUUCAGAUGCAACUUUUAAUUUUGUUCAUCAUCAUCGCGUCACUAUCAUCAAUUCUUUACAGCUUUAACGAUUAAUUCAAGUUACAUCAAAUUUGGUUCCAAAUGAGUCGAAAAUUUCAAGAUAAAAGGCUUAAACUAAACCUUUCACACAGAGAAACAGAAAAAAAUGAACCAACUCUAAUUUUCCUCCAGUAAAUUAUAAUAACAGUAUAAUUGGUUUAUACGAUUGUUUUCAAGUUGACUCUGACAGUUGCUCAUUCUGUCUACACUGGAAGAUGUUACCAUAAAUGCCAUGCAUCGUUGGGCGAAAGAGUUACAAAUAUUCAACAAUAUUCAACAAUAUCAAUUGUCUCAACCCUUUCCAGUGUUGGUAUUAAUUAACAUCUACAAACACAAGAAACAGGAGCAAAAUAUACAAAUCACAAAUAAAUGAGAUGAUUAAUGGAGGAAACAUUUUGAUGCUCAAGGCAUUCCCAUUAGAUAUUAUUGCUGCUCAUUUUACUUAUCUAAUAUUAUAAAAGAUGAAAAUGGUUGGUUCAAUAAUAAUGCAGGUCCAAGUGUAUAUUUAAAAGUUGAACAACAAAAAGCUCAAGUAUUCAGGCUUGUUAUUGUGAACAUUGAAUGUUGACAAAACUAUUAUCAAGGUUCCUCUUCCUCUCAUCUGGACUUAUGGUUUGGUUGCUUUUUUUUACUUUUUUUCAUUUCAAAGUGAUUAUUUGCAAAGUUCAUUGAAAAUUCCGAGUUGGUUGCAUCAACAGCAAAAAGGCAUAAAAAGAUGAAAACAUAAACGUAAAGAGGAAAAUUACAAAAAUCAUAUUCUUCAUGGCAAUAAUGCUCUUAUCAUUUCAAUGGUGAUUAGGAUGCUUUGAUAAUGAUGAUGGCCAAGUAAAGAGUUACCAGUUAGCUGUUCAAGCUGAAAAGUGAAAGUGCAAUCGAUAAAGUUAAAUAUUUUUGGGCCUCUUUGAAUGGCUUCGUUACCAUCUUUGUUUUUUUUGGGUCAUCAAAAUUUGUUUAAAACUGGAACUUUAAGAGAGUUGAAAGUUUGGUUCAUUGGUUGACUGAAGUAAGAAGCAAUUAUUGAAAACAUUGAAUGUUUGAUGGAGUAAACAGAGUAUAAACUUUCAUUGGAAGAGCAAAUAAUUUGGCUUUAUUUGAAGCAAUACAAGUUUCCUUUUCAUCAACAAAAUCAUGAUCAUGAUUUUUUAAUAAACUCGCCUUUCAUUGAGUUGGAAAAAAGCAGCUCCAUAAGAUAUUGAUUAAAACAAGAAUCAAUAGUUUCUAUUCAUCUCAAUCAAGUGUACAUUUUAUCGCAGUUUAUCUUGUUUUUCUUUUCUCUUCUUUCCUUUUUCAUCCUUGUUUCUCAAUUCUCUACAUUUGUAUCAACCUCAUAUCAAGAAAAUUAUCAACAUGAACGCCAAUUCAAGGGAUAGCCUUUAAAAGGAGAAUAAACUCAAAGAAUCAGGUCAUCAACAUGUUCAUCUUCUUCCAUUAUCAUCAAACUUUCCAUCAAUAUAUUACAUUAUGAAUGUUGCCUGUUGAACUUUUCUCAUUGCCAGUGAUACGUAUUAAUACACAAAUUCAACUUUGUGCUUACCUCAUGGGAACUGCUAUAUUUGUUUACUUGGAUAAAAAGUGGGUGAUAUUAGAUGAUCAAGAUGAAGACUGAAACUGAACAUCUGACAGAAAAGCUGAACACUGGGAAAGGGUAAAGUGAAAUCAGUUUUAUUAUGUUUGAUUAUUUAGUAAUCUGCAUAAAGUUGAUGGACGCAAAGUAACAACUAACAAGAUAAACAAAGUGAUUUACUUUCUCAGUAAUUUGCAUCAGUAUUCAUUCCAUCCUGUCAAUCAAUAAAUAUUAAUAUUAAUAUAAAAAUCCAUGAAGAUGGUGAAGCAAGGAAGCAAAAUGAUGAACAAGAAGACAAAUAAGACUUGGAAACUUGGAAGAAACUAAAUCUGAAUAAUGAUUUACAGAAACAAUUUGGAUUCAUUCUCGUUGUAAAUAAAUUCCUCCAUUUUCCCAUGGUAACUCAGCUGUUAUCAAUAUAAAUAUAUUGAAUAAAUCAUUUUGUUCAAUUAUUUGCAGGCUAACAAGCAAAGGAUGGCAAGAAAAGUAUGGAUGAAACACUUUCCAUGGAAAUGUCUUUUCAAAGUUUUCCUCACUCUUGCCAGUCAAAAGGAAUAAAUAAAUUAGAUUUCAAAUGUAAAUAAUAAACCAACAAUUAUUACAAUGAUUAUAAUUAUUAUCAUCAGCAGAAGCUAAAUUAGCAAUUAAAAUGUGACAGUCAAGCAAAAGACCAACAAAAAAUGUGUACAUAAAACUGGAAUCAUUAGAGAUGGUAAAGCAACUUGGAUUGAUGUUAAUUACUAAAUCAUGUUCUCAUUUAAGAGUAA